rnacentral:misc_RNA from 1 species
CCCAACUAUCCCUAUUAAUCAUUACGUCGAUCCUAGAAACCAACAAAAUAGAAUCAAACGUCCUAUUUCAUUAUUCCAUGCUGAUGUAUUCAAGCGUUAGCCUGCUUUAAACACUCUAAUUUUUUCAAAGUAACAGUCCUGAUUCUCCGCGACACCAAGUUAAUGACAUCAUGGUUCGUCAGAAGGUAGGAAUCAAUAAAACCAGUACGUACAAUAGCACGACCAGUAAAUUAAUCCCGAAAUUCAACUACGAGCUUUUUAACUGCAACAACUUUAAUAUACGCUAUUGGAGCUGGAAUUACCGCGGCUGCUGGCACCAGACUUGCCCUCCAA